ACCAAAUAUAAAAAAGAAGAUGUGGUAUGAUUGCCAAUGAGACAACUAUCCACAAAAGACCAAAAUGACACAGACAUUAACAACUAUAUGUCACCGUACGGCCUUCAACAAUGAGCAAAGCCCAUACCGCAUAGUCAGCUAUAAAAGGCCCCGAUAAGACAAUGUAAAACAAUUCAAACGAGAAAACUAACGGCCUUAUCUAUGUAAAAAAAUGAAA
rnacentral:lncRNA from 1 species